rnacentral:lncRNA from 1 species
CUCCAAAUGCAUGGCGCUUAGCUUCUGGUGAGACAGAGAGACAAUAAAUAUGAUAACUAAAUAUAGUACAGAGAAGGCUGGGAAAUGAUCGUUGCCAAGGAAAAGUAGAAAAACAAAACCGUGUGACAGGAAACUGAAACAGGUGGUUACAGAGAAGAGGGUUGGAUCCCCAGGGUGGUUUCAUUCAGAUCUGACCUCGUGAUGAUCUGGAAGGAACAGGGAAGAACGAUCGUCGAAGCUCUGAAUAUCAAUGUGUGCAACAGGUUGACAAAUAAGGACUUAAAAGAAGGAACUAGAGAGACUUAAGUCACUGAACGAAGGAAAUAACCAGGCGGUUUUACUGAAUUACU